GCCGUUCAGACGUGUGCAGAACAUUUACCAAAACCAACCAGGGCUGCACCACGUGCAGCCACUGCAGAGUCCCCAGGACCGAGACCACUCGGUGUGUUUUCAACCACCAGGACAUUAAACAGGAAGUCAGUCAUGAAAAUAGACCCGUGAGAAACAGUCGCCUUGAAAUUAAACAAGAUACAAUCAUCAAGUCAGUCAAACAAGAAAUUGCAAUGGAAUUUAUAAAACGGACUUAGAGAAUGAAAAUACUGAGGGAAGAGAAAAGGAAAAGUCAGUGAGGCCGACAGCCAAGGCUGGUCUUUGGAGAAACAGCCUGAAAUGUCACAGCCACAGGCAGAGAGAGAGCUGCCAGGCAAAACCAAGCUGCGGCAGCACUGGUGAGUCGGGGGGAGGGAGGGCAGCAGAGAAGCCUUCGUUCUCCAGGUCAUCAGCCGGCUGCCAGGGAAAGUUUCCUCCCCUUUUCAGGCAUGAACACGGUGGGCUCCGAGGGAACCUGCAUGGGUUGUGGGAGGGGGUGGGGGCUUAUCCAAAACACACCCACAGCUGCACAAACAAGAGAGGCUGCGCUUUGUGCUCCCUAAAGACACACCCGCAGCGGCACAGAUAAGGAAGUCACAAGAACAGCGAAAGAGACCAGCGGACUUUCUUAUCAAAGCGUUUGGAUUCAACUGUGAAAAUGGCAGCCCACUCGGGCCCCCUCUCCGCCACAGAGAGCUUUUUUCUUUCACUUAUUAAACUUUCGCUGCAACUUCUCCCUGUGUCCACGCGCCUUAAUUUUCUGGGUUGUGAGACGAUGGACAACGAGCUCGGAUAACACCUUAGACAACGUGACCAGCAACCCUAGACCGUGUCGAUCCUACGUAUCAAAACUUGGGAGACUAAAACGGGGGUUAGAGGAAAAAUACAGCCUUGAAUACAAGAAAAAACCCAGAAAAACCUUGAUUUAAGCUUUGAUUUCAAGAAGCUGGACAACAACAUAAAUCAUAUCUAAGGACAGCAAAAGGCAGGUACGUCCCGGCCUGGCCUGCAUGGGGCGGGGGCCGCGGAAGAACCCUGCGCCCUCCACACGGGACUUGACGUCUGCUCUGCCCUGGCCCCUCCUCGCUGGAGCACCAUCAGCAGCAUUCAUGGAUGAGGACGCAGCUCACAGGAGGCCCUGCCGACCCUCGCUUCUGGUCCACACCCACCCGCUACCUGAGCAGGCCAAUGGAGGCUGGUUGCAUGCAGAGCCUCGAUUCCAUCAAUUCACUCGAGGCACGGGUGACUGGUGUUGGAGCCAGACUUGGGAUAGAAGCAGGAGCACCUACCGAGGGGCCCGCCUCCCAGUAGCAGUUCUGGGGCUACUACCAAUAAAGCUGCUGCCAACAUUCAUGUGCAAGGUAUCCACAGAUCCUGAUCCACAGACGUGAUGGGGGAGUAUCUGAUCCCUGUUAUUCCAUUUCAGCUAGAAGCAGAAGUCAGCUGGCUUGUAAGCUAACAUGUAAAGACAUCCUCGAUACGUCUUAGAGGUUUAAGAAGCUGGAAUAAUGCAGUAUGUACAGUGUAUUAUGGUUAUAAAAAUUAAGUGUGCGCUUGAAGGAGAUUUGCUGAAGCAAUUCCACAGCAUCAGCUUUACCCAGCGGGCUGGGUCUGAUCAGCUAACUGAACUUCUGCAAGGACAAUGUACGACAUCCACAGUAACAGACACGGCUCAGGUCAGACCUUGUGGCCAUCAUCCAUCUCUUUCAGUAGCAACGAGCACUCUGUGGGUUCAGUGACCGCUGAGUGCUGCGCAACUCUGACCCGCAGGCUCAGGCACCUGACGGAGGGACGGUUUGGGGCCUGGAGUCAGAAGCCCCAGGGCCGCGUCAGGGCUUGCGGCUGGGCUGCCGCUGUUCUCCCCGGUGUUCAUCCAGGGAUGCUCGGAGAAACGCUUUCGGAGCAUUUCUCGAAAAUCAACAUCAUAUGGGCCUCAUUCUGUGAUCGCAUGUGAUAAAAUCAGAAACUCACAAGCCCCACCCCAGGCACUGUAUCCAGGUGGAAAUUCAAAAACCCUCUCCUACUUGACUCACUAGUGGAACAGUAUCCAGGCGGAAAUUCAAAAACCCUCUCCUACUUGACUCACUAGUGGAACAGAAACCCAUGUUGAAGCGUUGGGCUGUUCACACGCUGCAGCUGGGGGGCCCAGGGCAAGGUCGGGAGGGAGGCAGAGAGCACAGGCAUGAGGCCGCCGCCCCGGAGCAGCCACAGCAGGGCCCUGGGCUGCCCUCGCGCCAAUGCAGGGAGCUCCACAAAGAUGAAGCAGAACACAAGGAAAGCCUGAGUCAGGCAGAAAUCCGUGUUGCUGGGGUCUGUAAACCAAAGCCAGCUCCUUGAAAAGGUCUGCUGCGUUGGAGCCUGUGAUUCUGAUUUAGAAGAGACGGCGUUGCCAUCCUGGCCAACAUGGUGAAACCCCAUCUCCACUAAAAAUACAAAAAUUAGCCGGGCAUGGUGGCACAUGCCUGUAAUCCCAGCAACUCGGGAGGCUGAGGCAGGAGAAUCACUUGAACCAGGGAGUCGGAGGUUGCGGUGAGCUGAGAUUGCACCACUGCACUCCAGCCUGGGCGUCGAUAAAUGGCAAUAAGGGAGGCGUGCCUGCCGCAAGGGUUUUGUGAAAGCUAUAAGAACACACUCCCUACAAAUUUAUACCGACACACCACAGACUUAGAGGAAAAGGUUUCCCAGGCCCUUCCCAAGGCCCUGAAGUUGACUUUCUAAGCCAAACAGACGGGACAUGUGGAUGGAAGGUCCACUUCUCAAAGAAAGUCUGAAGCAAGCUCAGGAAACUUCUGGAGCUUUCUGGAGCUGCACGGAAAGCUGUGGAUAUGUGGCCCCAUGACGUGGGUCUCUGAACUUGCAUAGACUUGACGUAUGGCACAAAAAUUGCAGAUGGAAAAGAGGAAACCACAGCUUUCACGCUAAUGAACAGUGUUUCUUACAAAGAGUUACCUGGCUUCUAGAUCUGUGAUCAUGAAUUCCAGUAAAGGCAAUCGGUUUGGUCUUUCUUUCUUGAG
rnacentral:lncRNA from 10 species